AGACAUAGAAGAAGAAGGGUUGCCGGAGUUGAACUCAAUUCAAUCUUCUUCGAAAAUGGUGAAGCCAUCGUCAUCGUCGUCCUCUACGAGUCAGGACGCUUUGCCCUUUUCAAUUCUCUGAGAUCGGCUUACACGGCCUCACCUGCCACUCUCAAUAUCAUUGAUCUCGAUGUUGGUUUCGCUGUAUUAACUGCCAUCAUCCAGGUCUACUAUGUGGUGGCUUCGUUAAACCUUUCCUAGAUACACCACUUGGUUCAUUUGGUGAACACCACCAAAUGUGAGAGACUAAAGAGUGUGCCACUAGUGAACACGGAGGGCGCGGAUUGGAUGUGGAAGGCGUUUUUGCCAAAGGGGUCGGUUCGGGACUAUCCUGUGGCGAAUGUGUUUCGGCCAGACGUGGUGGAUAUUUCGGGGGUGGAUUUUCUGGCGACAAUUGUGUAUGUUAGGGGAUUCGAUCCGUGGCAAGAUUGGCAGUUGAGGUAUUGCAAGGGAUUGAAGAAGCGCGGGAAACAAGCGGAGGUAGUGGUGUUUCCAAAUGUCAUUCACAUUUUCUAUGCUUAUCCGAGUUGGAAGACUCUUUAGCGUUUAUUCAGAAGUCAGAAAUUUCGUAUAAGACAGUUAGUUAAUGCAACUAAU